ACUCUUCAAUUAAUGAUUUGAAGGCCCCGAGAUCUUUUUCUCUUUCCCAAGUAUUCUCCUCGCUGCUGCAUCCCAUCCAUUUGACCAAGUACUCCUGAUGAUCUUUUCUAGAAGCCCGAGUGAUUCGAUGGUCAAGAAUAGCUUCAGCAACCUUCUUUCCAGCUUUCUUCAGUUCAAAUACAGGUCGCUUUGGCUCAUUUCUAGAUGCGUCCUCCUUAUCCGAAAAGUAUGGCUUCAACACACUAACAUGAAGGACCUUGUGGAUUUUACACCAUGAAGGGAGUUCAACUCUGUAUGCAACUCUUCCAAUCCUCUUCACAAUGGGUAAUGGUCCAAUGUAUUUUGGUGACAAUCUUGAGUCCUUCCCUCUGGUUGGUUUGUAAACAUUUCUGUCGGGAAGCUUAACCAUUACCAGAUCUCCAACAUUGAAUUCAAUAAAACGGCGCUUUAGAUCUGCAGCCUUUUUAUACCGUUUUUGAGCUUUUUCAAGAUAACUCCGAGCAAUUUCAAUAUUUCGUUUCCACUCUUGAGAAAAGCUCUUUGCUUGAGGGGACUUGGUACUUCGUUCGAUAUCCACUGUAUGAGGGAGUAGCGGUUGCUGGCCAGUAACAAUCUCAAAAGGACUCUUAUUGGUGGAAGAACUCUUUUGGGCAUUGAAGCAAAUUUGGGCCGCAUCCAAAAGUUUUACCCAGUUUUUCUGCGAAGUAGAGAUAAAGUGCCGAAGAUAUUCUUCUAGCAUAGAAUUGAAGCGCUCCGUCUGUCCGUCAGAUUGUGGGUGAAAACUAGAACUCAUGCUCAAAGUUGAACCAAGAAGUUUGAAC
rnacentral:lncRNA from 1 species